UGGGAAAGUUCUCAGGCUUCUGAGAAUUUGCAGGAGCAGAAGGCUGUGAGGUUCCCCUCU
rnacentral:pre_miRNA from 1 species